AUUGAACGCUGGCGGCAGGCCUAACACAUGCAAGUCGAACGAGUGGCGGACGGGUGAGUAAUGUAUGGGAACCUGCCUGAUGGAGGGGGAUAACUACUGGAAACGGUAGCUAAUACCGCAUACCAUCAGAUGUGCCCAGGUGGGAUUAGCUUGUUGGUGGGGUAACGGCCCACCAAGGCGACGAUCCCUAGAUGGUCUGAGAGGAUGACCAGCCACAUUGGGACUGAGAGACGGCCCAGACUCCUACGGGAGGCAGCAGUGGGGAAUAUUGCACAAUGGGCGCAACCCUGAUGCAGCCAUGCCGCGUGUAUGAAGAAGGCCUUCGGGUUGUAAAGUAAUUUCGGCGGUGAGGCGUUACCCGCAGAAGAAGCACCGGCUAACUCCGUGCCAGCAGCCGCGGUAAUUC
rnacentral:rRNA from 1 species